GAGAAACAAGAGACCAAACACUGCAGAUGAGCUGAAGGCCACUGUCAACGAAACCUGGCCUUCCUGACCACCUCAGCAGUGCCACAAACUGAUCACCUCCAUGCCACGCCGAAUUGAGACAGUAAUUAAAGCAAAAGGAGCCCCUACCAAGCAUUGAGUACAUGUACAGUAAAUGAACAUAUUAAUUUGGUUUAUUAAUUGGUCUUAUGAAGUAUUCUGAUUUGUUGAUUCUUUUUGUUAAAUGUGAGCCAAAAUCAUCACAAUACACAAGACUUUAUUUCACCAACUUUUUCAAAGACCAAUUUUUUCACGACAUUCUAAUUUAUUGAGAUGCACCUGUAUAAACAUAACAUAUUUUUCUUAAAUAUAUUUGUAUUUAUAUAUCCAUAAUAAAUAAAACACAGUACACACACAUAUAUUAUGUAAACAAAAACAUUUAUUUCGGAUGUGAUUAAUCGUUUGACAGCACUAGAUUCUGUGUGAACUGGAGGCAAAGUUUUGAGUUUUUUAAUGUCACUGUAUGUCACAUCUGAGCUGUUAUUUUAAAGAUCCUGUGCAGUCAGAUUGUGUGUGGAUUGUCUCUCUGUUCAGACUACAGGCCAAACCGCCCAAAAAAAGCUCUGUGCCACCCAAACAUCAUUUUUCAUCUUGGCGUUUGACGCGGUGGAGCGCUGCUGUUUGUGUGUGUAAUGUGUGUGUGUGUAAAGCAUGUAGAAAUGUGAGUUUAAUCUGCAGAUCUGUGUACAUGUGUCUGUGUGUGUUUAGUUUGUGAUUUUGUGUGUAUUGUGUUUCGUGUGUAGAUUCCAUUCUCUUUUUUCAUGUCAAUUGGUUCACAAUUGCUCUUUCCUCUCUGUGCUGAUAGACUUAUAAAUUACUGUGUUUGCAGUGUGUGAUGAAAUAAAAUUUAAUAAGUGAAUAAAAAUGUAAAUAAAGGUUGGAGGAGAAUGACUUGUCCAUGAAAUAAUUCUCUCCUCCCCUUGAGCUAAUAGUCUGAAAGCCAAACCCGCCGCUUGAUUUGGUGUGUGACCUUUGAGAACAUUCUCCUCCUUGAUUAAAGACAUAUUAAAUUUGUUUAAAUAAAGCUCGUUGUAAUGACACAUCAUUUGUAAGGAGCUAUUAGGGGCUGGAAACGCAGGCUGGUCUAUUUGCAUAAAAAUGUGCCGGUGGAUCACGUCUGAAGGAAGGCAGACACACACGCUCACCUACGACAAAGAGCAGAUCAAACUUUACACUAAACCUCAGUGAUAAAGCCAUCCAUCCGGGAGCACCGCCUUCUUCUGCUCAAUCCCAAAAUCCUCUUCAGAUAUGACAUGCAAAAAGGCAGGUGAGUGGCUCAGUGAUAAAUAAUAUAUUGAGAUAAAAAAAAUAUAUAUAUAUAUAUAUAUAUAUAUAUUUUUUUUUUUUUUCAUAGGGAUAAGUUCAUAAAUAAAACUUGCAUAUAUAUAAAUAUGUAAGAUUUUUUGAGACUUGAUUACAUUUGCUGUGCUUCACUGGGGUGAGCGGAGCUAAAUAUCUCCUUUGGUGACUCUGAUUGGUGGAAUUUUCUGUACAGCAUGACUAAUAAAGUAGUUUUCAUCACAAAAUCUGCUAUUAAACACAAAUAUUUUAAAAAUAAGGUAAGAGAAGCAAAAACAAUCAACAACCCCAACAGAUCUGCCUUUAACGGUUUAUCAGGUAUUGUAAAAAAUCAGUUUCCCUAUGGAGAUAAUUAAGUUUUAGGGUUUUUACUUCCUUACUUAGAGUUCAGUAACUUCACCAGCUUUAUACUAUUUACUUUGAGGAAAAACUACACAAAUGUCAAACACACAUUGAAACGCACAAGUCUUUACCAGAAACUGCCAUUAUAAAAGUUCAGUUUAAAUUGAAGAAAUUAUGACAGAAAUAUAUUACAAAUGCAUAUUUAAAUGUACUUCUUGAAGUAAUAAUAAUAAUAAUAUUAUUUUCAAGGAAUGAC
ensembl:lncRNA